GAGCGGUAGAGAGAAGCUUGCUUCUCUUGAGAGCGGCGGACGGGUGAGUAAUGCCUAGGAAUCUGCCUGGUAGUGGGGGAUAACGCUCGGAAACGGACGCUAAUACCGCAUACGUCCUACGGGAGAAAGCAGGGGACCUUCGGGCCUUGCGCUAUCAGAUGAGCCUAGGUCGGAUUAGCUAGUUGGUGAGGUAAUGGCUCACCAAGGCGACGAUCCGUAACUGGUCUGAGAGGAUGAUCAGUCACACUGGAACUGAGACACGGUCCAGACUCCUACGGGAGGCAGCAGUGGGGAAUAUUGGACAAUGGGCGAAAGCCUGAUCCAGCCAUGCCGCGUGUGUGAAGAAGGUCUUCGGAUUGUAAAGCACUUUAAGUUGGGAGGAAGGGCAUUAACCUAAUACGUUGGUGUCUUGACGUUACCG
rnacentral:rRNA from 1 species